rnacentral:sRNA from 1 species
ACACGAAGAAAGGAGGUGAUCCGGAAGUGGUUUCUUUUCGGAUGCGUGAGGUGACUGCGGGCUGAGGCCUGCCGUCGCACUCUGUGCAAUGCCGGCAGGCCUCCUGCCGCAAUCCAAGCAGUCACCGACCCGCGGGCUCGCCGGCACAUCCGGCCGGCCUCUCCGUCAGGAGAGCCAGAGCCCGCGGGUUUCUGCUU